rnacentral:rRNA from 1 species
GACGAACGCUGGCGGCGUGCCUAAUACAUGCAAGUUGAGCGCUGAAGGUUGGUACUUGUACCAACUGGAUGAGCAGCGAACGGGUGAGUAACGCGUGGGGAAUCUGCCUUUGAGCGGGGGACAACAUUUGGAAACGAAUGCUAAUACCGCAUAAAAACUUUAAACACAAGUUUUAAGUUUGAAAGAUGCAAUUGCAUCACUCAAAGAUGAUCCCGCGUUGUAUUAGCUAGUUGGUGAGGUAAAGGCUCACCAAGGCGAUGAUACAUAGCCGACCUGAGAGGGUGGUCGGCCACAUUGGGACUGAGACACGGCCCAAACUCCUACGGGAGGCAGCAGUAGGGAAUCUUCGGCAAUGGACGAAAGUCUGACCGAGCAACGCCGCGUGAGUGAAGAAGGUUUUCGGAUCGUAAAACUCUGUUGGUAGAGAAGAACGUUUGUGAGAGUGGAAAGCUCAUCAAGUGACGGUAACUACCCAGAAAGGGACGGCUAACUACGUG